UACAGAGGUGGCAAGCGUUGUUCGGAAUUACUGGGCGUAAAGGGCGCGUAGGCGGUCCGAUAAGUCCUGUGUGAAAUCCCUCGGCUCAACUGAGGAACUGCACGGGAGACUGUCGGGCUUGAGUUCGGGAGAGGGAAGCGGAAUUCCGGGUGUAGCGGUGAAAUGCGUAGAUAUCCGGAAGAACACCUAUGGCGAAGGCAGCUCGCUGGGACGGUACUGACGCUGAGGCGCGAAAGCGUGGGGGAGCGAACAGG
rnacentral:rRNA from 1 species